GAUGAACGCUGGCGGCGUGCCUAAUACAUGCAAGUCGAGCGAACGGACGAGAAGCUUGCUUCUCUGAUGUUAGCGGCGGACGGGUGAGUAACACGUGGAUAACCUACCCAUAAGACUGGGAUAACUUCGGGAAACCGGAGCUAAUACCGGAUAAUAUUUUGAACCGCAUGGUUCAAAAGUGAAAGACGGUCUUGCUGUCACUUAUAGAUGGAUCCGCGCUGCAUUAGCUAGUUGGUAAGGUAACGGCUUACCAAGGCAACGAUGCAUAGCCGACCUGAGAGGGUGAUCGGCCACACUGGAACUGAGACACGGUCCAGACUCCUACGGGAGGCAGCAGUAGGGAAUCUUCCGCAAUGGGCGAAAGCCUGACGGAGCAACGCCGCGUGAGUGAUGAAGGUCUUCGGAUCGUAAAACUCUGUUAUUAGGGAAGAACAUAUGUGUAAGUAACUGUGCACAUCUUGACGGUACCUAAUCAGAAAGCCACGGCUAACUACGUGCCAGCAGCCGCGGUAAUACGUAGGUGGCAAGCGUUAUCCGGAAUUAUUGGGCGUAAAGCGCGCGUAGGCGGUUUUUUAAGUCUGAUGUGAAAGCCCACGGCUCAACCGUGGAGGGUCAUUGGAAACUGGAAAACUUGAGUGCAGAAGAGGAAAGUGGAAUUCCAUGUGUAGCGGUGAAAUGCGCAGAGAUAUGGAGGAACACCAGUGGCGAAGGCGACUUUCUGGUCUGUAACUGACGCUGAUGUGCGAAAGCGUGGGGAUCAAACAGGAUUAGAUACCCUGGUAGUCCACGCCGUAAACGAUGAGUGCUAAGUGUUAGGGGGUUUCCGCCCCUUAGUGCUGCAGCUAACGCAUUAAGCACUCCGCCUGGGGAGUACGACCGCAAGGUUGAAACUCAAAGGAAUUGACGGGGACCCGCACAAGCGGUGGAGCAUGUGGUUUAAUUCGAAGCAACGCGAAGAACCUUACCAAAUCUUGACAUCCUUUGACAACUCUAGAGAUAGAGCUUUCCCCUUCGGGGGACAAAGUGACAGGUGGUGCAUGGUUGUCGUCAGCUCGUGUCGUGAGAUGUUGGGUUAAGUCCCGCAACGAGCGCAACCCUUAAGCUUAGUUGCCAUCAUUAAGUUGGGCACUCUAAGUUGACUGCCGGUGACAAACCGGAGGAAGGUGGGGAUGACGUCAAAUCAUCAUGCCCCUUAUGAUUUGGGCUACACAUGUGCUACAAUGGACAAUACAAAGGGCAGCGAAACCGCGAGGUCAAGCAAAUCCCAUAAAGUUGUUCUCAGUUCGGAUUGUAGUCUGCAACUCGACUACAUGAAGCUGGAAUCGCUAGUAAUCGUAGAUCAGCAUGCUACGGUGAAUACGUUCCCGGGUCU
rnacentral:rRNA from 1 species